UACGUAGGGUGCAAGCGUUGUCCGGAAUUAUUGGGCGUAAAGAGCUCGUAGGCGGUCUGUCGCGUCGGGUGUGAAAGCCCCGGGCUCAACCUGGGAAUUGCAUUCGAGACUGCAUUGCUGGAGUACGGAAGAGGAGGGCGGAAUUCCCGGUGUAGCGGUGAAAUGCGUAGAUAUCGGGAGGAACAUCAGUGGCGAAGGCGGCCCUCUGGUCCAGUACUGACACUCAAGUGCGAAAGCGUGGGGAGCAAACAGG
rnacentral:rRNA from 1 species